CCCUUAGAUGUUCUGGGCCGCACGCGUGCUACACUGAGUGGAUCAGCGGGUCAGGUUGCGCGAAAGCGUUUCCUAAUCUUUAAAUCCGCUCGUGAUGGGGAUUGACGGUUGCAAUUUUCUGUCAUGAACGAGGAAUACCUUGUAAGCGCGGGUCAUCAUCCCGCGCUGAAUACGUCCCUGCCCUUUGUACACACCGCCCGUCGCUCCUACCGAUCGAGCGCCCUAGCGAGGUCGUCCGAUUGUCGCCGAGGCCGGCUUUCGCGAGCUGCGCAUCCGACGAAAAGGCGAUCGAACUCGAGCGCUUAGAGGAAGUAAAAGUCGUAACA
rnacentral:rRNA from 1 species